rnacentral:rRNA from 1 species
AGACCCGAAACCCGGUGAUCUAGCCAUGGGCAGGUUGAAGGUUGGGUAACACUAACUGGAGGACCGAACCGACUAAUGUUGAAAAAUUAGCGGAUGACCUGUGGCUGGGGGUGAAAGGCCAAUCAAACCGGGAGAUAGCUGGUUCUCCCCGAAAGCUAUUUAGGUAGCGCCUCGUGAAUUCAUCUCCGGGGGUAGAGCACUGUUUCGGCUAGGGGGCCAUCCCGGCUUACCAACCCGAUGCAAACUGCGAAUACCGGAGAAUGUUAUCACGGGAGACACACGGCGGGUGCUAACGUCCGUCGUGAAGAGGGAAACAACCCAGACCGCCAGCUAAGGUCCCAAAGUCAUGGUUAAGUGGGAAACGAUGUGGGAAGGCCCAGACAGCCAGGAUGUUGGCUUAGAAGCAGCCAUCAUUUAAAGAAAGCGUAAUAGCUCACUGGUCGAGUCGGCCUGCGCGGAAGAUGUAACGGGGCUAAACCAUGCACCGAAGCUGCGGCAGCGACACUCAGGUGUUGUUGGGUAGGGGAGCGUUCUGUAAGCCUGUGAAGGUGGCCUGUGAGGGUUGCUGGAGGUAUCAGAAGUGCGAAUGCUGACAUAAGUAACGAUAAAGCGGGUGAAAAGCCCGCUCGCCGGAAGACCAAGGGUUCCUGUCCAACGUUAAUCGGGGCAGGGUGAGUCGACCCCUAAGGCGAGGCCGAAAGGCGUAGUCGAUGGGAAACGGGUUAAUAUUCCCGUACUUGGUGUUACUGCGAAGGGGGGACGGAGAAGGCUAUGUUGGCCGGGCGACGGUUGUCCCGGUUUAAGCGUGUAGGCUGGUUUUCCAGGCAAAUCCGGAAAAUCAAGGCUGAGGCGUGACGACGAGGCACUACGGUGCUGAAGCAACAAAUGCCCUGCUUCCAGGAAAAGCCUCUAAGCAUCAGGUAACAUCAAAUCGUACCCCAAACCGACACAGGUGGUCAGGUAGAGAAUACCAAGGCGCUUGAGAGAACUCGGGUGAAGGAACUAGGCAAAAUGGUGCCGUAACUUCGGGAGAAGGCACGCUGACACGUAGGUGAAGUGAUUUACUCAUGGAGCUGAAGUCAGUCGAAGAUACCAGCUGGCUGCAACUGUUUAUUAAAAACACAGCACUGUGCAAACACGAAAGUGGACGUAUACGGUGUGACGCCUGCCCGGUGCCGGAAGGUUAAUUGAUGGGGUCAGCGCAAGCGAAGCUCCUGAUCGAAGCCCCGGUAAACGGCGGCCGUAACUAUAACGGUCCUAAGGUAGCGAAAUUCCUUGUCGGGUAAGUUCCGACCUGCACGAAUGGCGUAAUGAUGGCCAGGCUGUCUCCACCCGAGACUCAGUGAAAUUGAACUCGCUGUGAAGAUGCAGUGUACCCGCGGCAAGACGGAAAGACCCCGUGAACCUUUACUAUAGCUUGACACUGAACAUUGAGCCUUGAUGUGUAGGAUAGGUGGGAGGCUUUGAAGUGUGG